rnacentral:rRNA from 1 species
UACGGGGGGGGCAAGCGUUGUUCGGAAUUACUGGGCGUAAAGGGCUCGUAGGCGGCCAACUAAGUCAGACGUGAAAUCCCUCGGCUUAACCGGGGAACUGCAUCUGAUACUGGAUGGCUUGAGAUUGGGAGAGGGAUGCGGAAUUCCAGGUGUAGCGGUGAAAUGCGUAGAUAUCUGGAGGAACACCGGUGGCGAAGGCGGCAUCCUGGACCGACACUGACGCUGAGGCGCGAAAGCCAGGGGAGCAAACGGG